UCAAACACAAGUUUGAGGAUUCAAUCAUAUGUAUGUUUGCAGGAUUAAUAAAGCACGAUGAUUUGGAUUUAGUUUGAAUUUUUAGGAUUACCAAAUGACAUCUUUUCAGCGCAAUUACCAGUUUCUUCAGAGCGUGUUCAGUAUCGACACUAUUGUCAAACCUCUUCCUCCUGCAAUGGCAUAUAAUGUUUCUCGCAACUUGAGUUUCUUUACGCGCAUCUUUACCCAGUUCUUCGAUCCAGAAGGAAUUUCAAAUGCUCAAAAAUCACUUGGACUGGGACAAGAAGAAAAAGUCCGUCAAGUUCGUUAAAAGAAACUCAAUAUAUUUUCCCAACCAGCUGUUAAUUUGCUAAAUCUGAACUUUGUAUUGACCAUGUAUAACUGUUUCUGCAUCGACUCAUAUAUGAAGGAUAAAUAUUUGGUCUA